AACGAACGCUGGCGGCAUGCCUAACACAUGCAAGUCGAACGAGAUCUUCGGAUCUAGUGGCGCACGGGUGCGUAACGCGUGGGAAUCUACCCUUGGGUUCGGAAUAACAGUUAGAAAUGACUGCUAAUACCGGAUGAUGACGUAAGUCCAAAGAUUUAUCGCCCAAGGAUGAGCCCGCGUAGGAUUAGCUUGUUGGUGAGGUAAAAGCUCACCAAGGCGACGAUCCUUAGCUGGUCUGAGAGGAUGAUCAGCCACACUGGGACUGAGACACGGCCCA
rnacentral:rRNA from 1 species